rnacentral:rRNA from 1 species
UCGAGGAUCUUCGGCAAUGGGCGCAAGCCUGACCGAGCGACGCCGCGUGCGGGAUGAAGGCCUUCGGGUUGUAAACCGCUGUCGUAGGGGAUGAAAUGCCGGUGGGUUCUCCCAUCGGUUUGACAUAUCCUAGGAGGAAGGACGGGCUAAGUUCGUGCCAGCAGCCGCGGUAAGACGAACCGUCCAAACGUUAUUCGGAAUUACUGGGCUUAAAGGGUGCGUAGGCGGCGCGGAAAGUUGGGUGUGAAAUCCCUCGGCUCAACCGAGGAACUGCGCCCAAAACUACCGUGCUCGAGGGAGAUAGAGGUGAGCGGAACUUAGGGUGGAGCGGUGAAAUGCGUUGAUAUCCUAAGGAACACCCGUGGCGAAAGCGGCUCACUGGGUCUCUUCUGACGCUGAGGCACGAAAGCUAGGGUAGCGAACGGGAUUAGAUACCCCUGUAGUCC